CACGUCCAUCUCCUCCAGCUGCGCCACGGUGUCUGGCAGGCAGGUGUUCAUGGUCUCCCACAGCGGCACGAAGGAUACGGCGGCGACGGCGGCGGCCAGACCGAACACCACGGAGACGGCCCACGGGUGUGUUGGCUCCUGUGGGACGUGGCUCAGGGCACUCAUGAAGAAUGGGGCGAUGAAGGCGCCGAUUCGGGAGGAUAUCAUGCCGGCGCUCAUGCCCUGUGUCCUGAUCUCCGUCGGGAACAGUUCAGACGUGUAGAGGAACAUGACGCUGAAGGCGGCGGUGGAGGAGAGCUUCCCGAUCAUCACCAAUGUUAUGGACAGCCACUUGAGGCCUAGUGGGGAUGGAGGGAAGGUUUCAGUUCCGAAGUGGAGGAACUUUGAUCUUGAAAGAAGCAAGUAGUCAGCAA